UACGUAGGGUGCGAGCGUUGUCCGGAAUUAUUGGGCGUAAAGAGCUCGUAGGCGGUCUGUCGCGUCGAUCGUGAAAACUUGGGGCUUAACCCUGAGCUUGCGGUCGAUACGGGCAUGACUGGAGUUCGGCAGGGGAGACUGGAAUUCUUGGUGUAGCGGUGAAAUGCGUAGAUAUCAAAGAGGAACACCUGAGGUGAAGACGGGUUGCUGGGCCAACACUGACGCUGAUGCGCGAAAGCCAGGGGAGCAAACGGG
rnacentral:rRNA from 1 species